rnacentral:rRNA from 1 species
AGCAGCCGCGGUAAUUCCAGCUCCAAUAGCGUAUAUUAAAGUUGUUGCAGUUAAAAAGCUCGUAGUUGAACUUCGGGAUCAAGGAAUCGGUCAUGCCUUGGUAUGUACUGGUUUUAUUGGUUCUCACCUUCUAAAGAACCAUAAUGUCAUUCAUUUGAUGUUAUGGGGAAUUAGGACUGUUACCUUGAAAAAAUUAGAGUGUUUAAAGCAGGCUUACGCUUGAAUACAUUAGCAUGGAAUAAUGAAAUAGGACAUCCGAUUCUAUUUUGUUGGUUUCUAGGAUCGAUGUAAUGAUUAAUAGGGAUAGUUGGGGGCAUUAGUAUUCAAUUGUCAGAGGUGAAAUUCUUGGAUUUAUUGAAGACUAACUACUGCGAAAGCAUUUGCCAAGGAUGUUUUCAUUAAUCAAGAACGAAAGUUAGGGGAUCGAAGACGAUCAGAUACCGUCGUAGUCUUAACCAUAAACUAUGCCGACUAGGGAUCGGAUGAUGUAAUUUUAUAAUGACUCAUUCGGA